AAGAUUCUAGUUAAAAUUAUAACACUGCCUUGUCAAGGCAGAAUUGCAGGUUAGACCCCCGCGUAUCUUG
rnacentral:tRNA from 1 species